UCCUUGGACUGCUUCUGGGAUCAUGACUUAUGCCAGUUAGGAACCAAUCAGGGCAGGGAAUACACCUGAGGCUGAACAGACACAUCUGGCAUAGGAAUGGGGCACACAGUUUGCACUUGACGACUUACCAGCUGGGUAAUCCUUGGAAUGUGGCGUGACCUCUCAGAGUGCUCUAAUUUGUAAAGGGAGGUGAUCUUAUUUCUUUUCUUUUCUUUUUUUUUUUUUUGAGAUGGAGUCUUGCUCAGUCACCCAGGCUAGAGCGCAGUGGCGUGAUCUCGGCUCAUUGCAACCUCUGCUUCCUGGUUUCAAAUGAUUCUCCUGCCUCAGCCUCCCGAGUAGCUGGCAUUACAGGUGCCCACCACCAUGCCCGGCUAAUUUUUGUAUUUUUAGUAGAGACGGGGUUUCACCAUCUUGGCCAGGCUGAUAUCGAAUUCCUGACCUCUUGAUCCACCCGCCUCAGCCUCCCAAAGUGCUGGGAUUACAGGCAUGAGCCACUGCACCCGGCUGGUGAUCUUUUUUCUCUGUUUUACCAGAUAUGUCCUGCCAGGUGGCCAUGAACUAUGUGUCUCCGUUCCCACUGCUUUCAACCACAGUUCUUUGGAACUGGGAGGAUGUCAGAACACAGUCGAUAGGUGACUGGCCUUGAAGGGCUCUGUCCAGAUAGAAAAACUGGUCCAAUCAAGUCUCUCACUCAAGAAUUGAAAUGGGCAAGGCCUGGAAGCUCCUUAGGUUUGGGAAAGUUUUGGAGCCAUGGAUGAGCUGAUGAAGAAGCAGAGGUGACUCAUGCACAGGAAGAGGAUGGGAGGGGAGCAAACUUGGAGGGGCAGAGACUGGGGAGACUGCGGAGACAGUGAGGCCUCCAUCGAGGGUCAGCACCCACCCAGUGUGCAUUUGGUUCUGCCCUGUUCCUUCACUUGGGUCCCUGAGAGACCCCUGCAUCUUUAUUUUAAAGCAGAAACAAACAAACAAAAGCAGAAACAAUAACAACAAAAAACCCUCCCUUCCACUUGAACUGUUUGUGUGGUCUCUCUUCCUUAAAGCCGAAAGAUUCUGGCCUGGGAACAAAA
rnacentral:lncRNA from 1 species